rnacentral:rRNA from 1 species
UACGGAGGUUCCAAGCGUUGUUCGGAAUUACUGGGCGUAAAGGGAGCGCAGGUGGAUUGGUAAGUCUAAAGUGGAAGCCCGGGGCUCAACCUCGGAAGGCCUUUGGAUACUGCCAGUCUUGAGUACGUGAGAGGAAAGCGGAAUUCAGGGUGUAGCGGUGAAAUGCUUAGAUAUCCUGAGGAACACCAAUGGCGAAAGCA